rnacentral:rRNA from 1 species
GCUUGGAAGCAGCCAUUCAUUUAAAGAGUGCGUAACAGCUCACUAGUCGAGGAGUCUGGCGUGGAUAAUACUCGGGCAUAAACUGUUUACCGAAGCUAUGGAUCUCGUAUGAGAUGGUAGGGGAGCAUUCCAUGUACGUCGAAGGUGAGGGAUGACCCUUGCUGGAGUGUAUGGAAACGCAAAUGUAGGUAUAAGUAACGAUAAAGGAGGUGAGAAACCUCCUCGCCGAAAGACUAAGGUUUCCUGAUCAACGUUAAUCGGAUCAGGGUAAGUCGGGACCUAAGGAUAAGCCGAACGGCGAUUCCGAUGGAAGAAUGGUUUAAUAUUCCCAUACUACUUUAUGGAGCGAUGUGGAGACGGAGAAGUGAAAGUCCUGCCAUCUGACGGAAUAGGUGGUUGAAGAGUGUAGAUGUAGAUUCCUGUAGGCAAAUCCGCAGGGAGAGUCGACCUUGAUAGUAUGCCGCGUGCUUGCACAAGGCAAAAUGGACGUAAUCAGGCUCCCAAGAAAAUCCGCUAAGCAUAUUCAUAAAGUACCCGUACCGUAAACGGACACACGUAGUUGGGUUGAAAAUACUGAGGCGCUCGAGUGAUUCACGGUUAAGGAACUAGGCAAAUUGACCCUGUAACUUCGGGAUAAAGGGUCCCUACUGAGAGGUAGGGCGCAGAGAAUAGGUCCAGGCAACUGUUUAACAAAAACACAUGGCUGUGCGAAAUAGAAAUAUGAAGUAUACAGCCUGACACCUGCCCGGUGCUGGAAGGUUAAGAGGAGAGCUCAUCGCAAGAGAAGGCUUGAAUUGAAGCCCCAGUAAACGGCGGCCGUAACUAUAACGGUCCUAAGGUAGCGAAAUUCCUUGUCGGGUAAGUUCCGACCUGCACGAAUGGUGUAAUGAUCUGGACACUGUCUCAACCGUGAGCUCGGUGAAAUUGUAGUAUCGGUGAAGAUGCCGAUUACCCGCGAUGGGACGAAAAGACCCCGUGAACCUUUACUAUAGCUUUACAUUGAAUUUGGGCAAUCGAUGUGUAGGAUAGGCCGGAGACCGUGAAGCAGGUACGCCAGUAUUUGUGGAGUCGCCGUUGAAAUACGGCCCUUUGGUUGUUUGAGUUCUAACCCGCAGAAGCGGGGACACUGUAUGGUGGGUAGUUUGACUGGGGUGGUCGCCUCCAAAAGAGUAACGGAGGCUUCUAAAGGUACCCUCAGACCGAUUGGUAACCGGUCGCAGAGUGUAAUGGCAUAAGGGUGCUUGACUGGGAGACAGACAAGUCGAUCAGGUAGGAAACUAGAGCAUAGUGAUCCGGUGGUUCCGCAUGGAAGGGCCAUCGCUCAAAGGAUAAAAGGUACUCCGGGGAUAACAGGCUGAUCGCUCCCAAGAGCUCAUAUCGACGGAGCGGUUUGGCACCUCGAUGUCGGCUCGUCACAUCCUGGGGCUGGAGAAGGUCCCA